rnacentral:ncRNA from 1 species
ACAAUGAUACUUCCAUAUGGGACUGGCGGAGUACCCGGCAGAGGUGAGAUUCCUAUGA